AACGAACGCUGGCGGCAUGCCUAACACAUGCAAGUCGAACGAGACCUUCGGGUCUAGUGGCGCACGGGUGCGUAACGCGUGGGAACCUGCCCUUAGGUUCGGAAUAACUCCCCGAAAGGGGUGCUAAUACCGGAUAAUGUCUUCGGACCAAAGAUUUAUCGCCUUUGGAUGGGCCCGCGUUGGAUUAGCUAGUUGGUAGGGUAAAAGCCUACCAAGGCGACGAUCCAUAGCUGGUCUGAGAGGAUGAUCAGCCACACUGGGACUGAGACACGGCCCAGACACCUUCGGGGGGGAGGAAGGGGGAAUUAUGGAAAAUGGGCGGAAGCCUGAUUCAGGAAUGCCGGAUGAGUGGUGGAGGGCUUAGGGUUGUAAAGCUCUUUUUACCGGGAUGGUUAUGGCUGUACCGGGGGAAUAAGGCCCGGCUAACUCCGU
rnacentral:rRNA from 1 species